GGAAGAGCAAGUGCUUGAUACUAGGCCCAACCCUGGGAAAAGGCUUACUGGGCUUGGUGCUUGGUGGUCUGUGUGGUUUGUAAUUGUGCCUUGGGACAUGUGGAUUCUCAUGACCUCUUCAAAGAACAGGAGCGCUUUCAUCAUAUCUGACAUCUCUUCUGUUUUAGACGGCAGCAAUCUUGGACCUGUUUUUGGAGCAGUGAAUUGAAUACUUUCCUCAAGUGCACGUUGACCCUCCACAGGUUUCUGCCAGUAUCAGUGAGGCCCAAUAGGUCUCAUGAAUGACUUCUGAGCCUGGUAUUCUGUACAGAAGUCUCCAUGCCAGUAUUCUCCAUUGUAGCAGAACAACUCUCAUCAUUGUGUUCGCAUCUCUCCUCAAUUUGAACAGCCAGCUCUUCUGCCAACUUCUCUUUGUGCCUCCCAUAAAGUCGACUUCUUCAGGACUGGGCAAGUCUGAAAGAACCUCGGAAUCUCACCAGUAAGAUGAAGAUUUGCAGAAGUACCACUUUCUGCCCUUUCAGGUUCUGGAAACUCACCCGUGAACUGAGGCCAUUGGGCAGCAGCAGUUUCUUGAAAUUACACCGCUUCCCGAUCAGGAGAAAUAACCCUAGCUUCACACAGGACGGAAGCCCUUUCAUGACACUGAUCAACCCACAGGGUUCUGCCCAGUUCCCUUGGAUCCACCAGCCACAACAAGCCACGCGGAACAAACCAACAUUCCACCUGGAAUUCAAACGGUUUUGUGAGGACUCUUUCUGUCUUUGGAAGUAAGAGACUACUGUUUGGCAACUGUCCUGAGCCAAGGGCUGGGUUUUGUGAGGCCUCUUUCUGUCUUUGGAAGUAGGAGACCACUGUUCGGCAACUGUCCUGAGCCAAGGGCUGGGUGAGUCGAUCUUUAUCUUGCUGUGUACAUGGCAGCGAGUGAGCAAAGUUUGAACUGGUACUCAGCCAACUUACAUAGAUAAAUCAACAAUUUCCAAACAUAAAUCACAAACAUGUGAUUCUUGUUUAGCUCUAUUAUCUGU